UUUCGCAAUGCCCGAAAGGGUGACGAAGCGACGCCGCGUGUGGGAAGAAGGCCUUCGGGUUGUAAACCACUGUCGGGAGUUAAGAAAUGCAAGGAUAUUAAUAGUGUCUUUGUUUGACUAAGGCUCCGGAGGAAGCCACGGCUAACUCUGUGCCAGCAGCCGCGGUAAUACAGAGGCGGCAAGCGUUGUUCGGAAUUAUUGGGCGUAAAGAGCACGUAGGCGGCUAUGUAAGUCAGUUGUGAAAGCCUUCCGCUCAACGGAAGAACAGCAUCCGAUACUACAUGGCUUGAGUGCGGGAGGGGAGAGUGGAACUUCUGGUGGAGCGGUGAAAUGCGUAGAUAUCAGAAGGAACGCCGGCGGCGAAAGCGGCUCUCUGGCCCAUAACUGACGCUGAGUGUGCGAAAGCUAGGGGAGCAAACGGGAUUAGAUACCCCGGUAGUCCUAGCCGUAAACGAUGGGCACUAAGUAGAGGGGUUUU
rnacentral:rRNA from 1 species